rnacentral:rRNA from 1 species
GACGAACGCUGGCGGCGUGCUUAACACAUGCAAGUCGAACGGAAAGGCCCUGCUUGUGUGGGGUGCUCGAGUGGCGAACGGGUGAGUAACACGUGAGUAACCUGCCCUUGACUUUGGGAUAACUUCAGGAAACUGGGGCUAAUACCGGAUAGGAGCUCCUGCUGCAUGGUGGGGGUGGGAAAGUUUCGGCGGUUGGGGAUGGACUCGCGGCUUAUCAGCUUGUUGGUGGGGUAGUGGCUUACCAAGGCUUUGACGGGUAGCCGGCCUGUGAGGGUGACCGGCCACAUUGGGACUGAGAUACGGCCCAGACUCCUACGGGAGGCAGCAGUGGGGAAUAUUGCACAAUGGGCGGAAGCCUGAUGCAGCAACGCCGCGUGCGGGAUGACGGCCUUCGGGUUGUAAACCGCUUUCGCCUGUGACGAAGCGUGAGUGACGGUAAUGGGUAAAGAAGCACCGGCUAACUACGUG